rnacentral:rRNA from 1 species
AACGAACGCUGGCGGCAUGCCUAACACAUGCAAGUCGAACGAGACCUUCGGGUCUAGUGGCGCACGGGUGCGUAACGCGUGGGAACCUGCCCUUAGGUUCGGAAUAACUCCCCGAAAGGGGUGCUAAUACCGGAUAAUGUCUUCGGACCAAAGAUUUAUCGCCUUUGGAUGGGCCCGCGUUGGAUUAGCUAGUUGGUAGGGUAAAAGCAUACCAAGGCGACGAUCCAUAGCUGGUCUGAGAGGAUGCUCAGCCACACUGGGACUGAGACACGGCCCAGACUGCUACGGGACGCAGCAGUGGGGAAUAUUGGACAAUGGGCGAAAGCCUGAUCCAGCAAUGCCGCGUGAGUGAUGAAGGCCUUAGGGUUGUAAAGCUCUUUUACCCGGGAUGAUAAUGACAGUACCGGGAGAAUAAGCUCCGGCUAACUCCGUG